AGUGAACGUUGGCGGCGUGGAUUAGGCAUGCAAGUCGAGCGAUCGUAGCAAUACGGGAGCGGCAAACGGGGUAGGAAUACAUCGGAACGUACCUUUUGGUUGAGAAUAGCGUUGGGAAACUGACGGUAAUACUCAAUAAAGUCGAGAGACCAAAGGUUUACUGCCGGAAGAGCGGCCGAUGCGAUAUUAGGUAGUUGGUGGGGUAAUGGCCUACCAAGCCUGAGAUGUCUAGGGGGUGUGAGAGCAUGGCCCCACCACUGGGACUGAGAUACUGCCCAGACACCUACGGGUGGCUGCAGUCGAGGAUCUUCGUCAAUGGGCGAAAGCCUGAACGAGCGACGCCGCGUGCGGGAUGAAGGCCCUUGGGUUGUAAACCGCUGUCAGGGGGAUGAAACCGUAAGGUUGACAGAGCCCCAGAGGAAGCACGGGCUAAGUUCGUGCCAGCAGCCG
rnacentral:rRNA from 1 species